CCAGACUCCUACGGGAGGCAGCAGUGGGGAAUAUUGGGCAAUGGGCGCAAGCCUGACCCAGCAACGCCGCGUGAAGGAAGAAGGCUUUCGGGUUGUAAACUUCUUUUAAGAGGGAAGAGCAGAAGACGGUACCUCUUGAAUAAGCCACGGCUAACUACGUGCCAGCAGCCGCGGUAAUACGUAGGUGGCAAGCGUUGUCCGGAUUUACUGGGUGUAAAGGGCGUGUAGCCGGGCUGACAAGUCAGGUGUGAAAUCCCGUGGCUCAACCUGGAGACUGCACUUGAAACUGGGUGUCUUGAGGGCAGGAGAGGAAAGUGGAAUUCCUAGUGUAGCGGUGAAAUGCGUAGAUAUUAGGAGGAACACCAGUGGCGAAGGCGACUUUCUGGACUGUACCUGACGCUGAGGCGCGAAAGCGUGGGGAGCAAACAGGAUUAGAUACCCUAGUA
rnacentral:rRNA from 1 species